rnacentral:rRNA from 1 species
UGGUGGGUAGUUUGACUGGGGCGGUCUCCUCCUAAAGAGUAACGGAGGAGCACGAAGGUUGGCUAAUCCUGGUCGGACAUCAGGAGGUUAGUGCAAUGGCAUAAGCCAGCUUGACUGCGAGCGUGACGGCGCGAGCAGGUGCGAAAGCAGGUCAUAGUGAUCCGGUGGUUCUGAAUGGAAGGGCCAUCGCUCAACGGAUAAAAGGUACUCCGGGGAUAACAGGCUGAUACCGCCCAAGAGUUCAUAUCGACGGCGGUGUUUGGCACCUCGAUGUCGGCUCAUCACAUCCUGGGGCUGAAGUAGGUCCCAAGGGUAUGGCUGUUCGCCAUUUAAAGUGGUACGCGAGCUGGGUUUAGAACGUCGUGAGACAGUUCGGUCCCUAUCUGCCGUGGGCGCUGGAGAAUUGAGGGGGGCUGCUCCUA